UACGUAGGGUGCGAGCGUUAAUCGGAAUUACUGGGCGUAAAGCGUGCGCAGGCGGUUUUGUAAGCCAGAUGUGAAAUCCCCGGGCUCAACCUGGGAACUGCAUUUGUGACUGCAUCGCUAGAGUACGGCAGAGGGGGAUGGAAUUCCGCGUGUAGCAGUGAAAUGCGUAGAUAUGCGGAGGAACACCGAUGGCGAAGGCAAUCCCCUGGGCCUGUACUGACGCUCAUGCACGAAAGCGUGGGGAGCAAACAGG
rnacentral:rRNA from 1 species